CAGCCGCCACGGUAAUACGUAGGGUGCGAGCGUUAAUCGGAAUUACUGGGCGUAAAGCGUGCGCAGGCGGUUCGUUAAGACAGAUGUGAAAUCCCCGGGCUUAACCUGGGAACUGCAUUUGUGACUGGCGAGCUAGAGUAUGGCAGAGGGGGGUAGAAUUCCACGUGUAGCAGUGAAAUGCGUAGAGAUGUGGAGGAAUACCGAUGGCGAAGGCAGCCCCCUGGGCCAAUACUGACGCUCAUGCACGAAAGCGUGGGGAGCAAACAGGAUUAGAUACCCCCGUAGUCCCUGUCUCUUAUAC
rnacentral:rRNA from 1 species